rnacentral:rRNA from 1 species
UACGGAGGGGGCUAGCGUUGUUCGGAAUUACUGGGCGUAAAGCGCGCGUAGGCGGCUCUGCAAGUCGGGGGUGAAAUCCCGAGGCUCAACCUCGGAACUGCCUUCGAUACUGCGGGUCUCGAGUCCGGGAGAGGUGAGUGGAAUUCCUAGUGUAGAGGUGAAAUUCGUAGAUAUUAGGAAGAACACCAGUGGCGAAGGCGGCUCACUGGCCCGGUACUGACGCUGAGGCGCGAAAGCUAGGGGAGCGAACGGG